rnacentral:rRNA from 1 species
GCUCAGAUUGAACGCUGGCGGCAGGCCUAACACAUGCAAGUCGAGCGGUAGAGAGAAGCUUGCUUCUCUUGAGAGCGGCGGACGGGUGAGUAAUGCCUAGGAAUCUGCCUGGUAGUGGGGGAUAACGUUCGGAAACGGACGCUAAUACCGCAUACGUCCUACGGGAGAAAGCAGGGGACCUUCGGGCCUUGCGCUAUCAGAUGAGCCUAGGUCGGAUUAGCUAGUUGGUGAGGUAAUGGCUCACCAAGGCGACGAUCCGUAACUGGUCUGAGAGGAUGAUCAGUCACACUGGAACUGAGACACGGUCCAGACUCCUACGGGAGGCAGCAGUGGGGAAUAUUGGACAAUGGGCGAAAGCCUGAUCCAGCCAUGCCGCGUGUGUGAAGAAGGUCUUCGGAUUGUAAAGCACUUUAAGUUGGGAGGAAGGGUUGUAGAUUAAUACUCUGCAAUUUUGACGUUACCGACAGAAUAAGCACCGGCUAACUCUGUGCCAGCAGCCGCGGUAAUACAGAGGGUGCAAGCGUUAAUCGGAAUUACUGGGCGUAAAGCGCGCGUAGGUGGUUUGUUAAGUUGGAUGUGAAAUCCCCGGGCUCAACCUGGGAACUGCAUUCAAAACUGACUGACUAGAGUAUGGUAGAGGGUGGUGGAAUUUCCUGUGUAGCGGUGAAAUGCGUAGAUAUAGGAAGGAACACCAGUGGCGAAGGCGACCACCUGGACUAAUACUGACACUGAGGUGCGAAAGCGUGGGGAGCAAACAGGAUUAGAUACCCUGGUAGUCCACGCCGUAAACGAUGUCAACUAGCCGUUGGAAGCCUUGAGCUUUUAGUGGCGCAGCUAAC